GAUGGGGGGGUGGAGGGUGGACAGUAGGGGCGGAGAUGAGAUCUAACCAGGCCUGGAAACGCUGGGGAAAGAGGUGGAGCCUGGAGAGCCCCAGAACCGGGACCCCCUGGCCAGCUGCAGUUAGAAGACCUGGGCUUGAGGCCUGGUUCCACCACAUGCUAGCUGUAUGGCCCUGGCCAAGUCACUUACUGUCUCUGAGCCUCAGGGUCUUUCCUCUGCAAGAUGAGGAUUAUCAAUGAACUUCUGCCCUCAAGAUUCAAAGCAGGCACGUGGUAAAGAAGAAGGAGCCUUGGAAAUGGGAACUACUUUUAUUAUUCUUCUCACAUCCUCCCACCCCCAUCCAUUGGUAUGUUAAGAUACUAUGGAGCAAGGAGGAAUGAGAAUAGCCACUGACGCCCUCUGCUAGAGGUUUCCGUUACUGUGUGCCAAAGGAUAUUGUGGCUGCCUCCUCACAGACUUUCCAGGAUGUCUGGACAUUUCAGAGCUCCCAAAGCUGCUGGGAUACUUCCGUCUCAGGUUACUCACUUGCCUAAGAAAAUCCCAGUGCAAGAAGACCCUACCACAUGGCCAGAAGGAGGCUACAUUCAAGGUUUGAAAUGGCCAAUUACAAACAGACAGAGAAUAUCUGAGUGUGUUCUAUCUAACCUGGCAGGAAGGGCGAAUCUGAGAAUAUUCUUCCUGAUGCUAUUACAAAGAUUUGUUCCUGAAUGUAGGAGUGUUGGGCCAAUAAGUGCACAAAGUUUCAGGAUGGGAAAGAUUUAAGAUCAUUAAACCCAAAUUCCUGAUUCUAUAGAGAAGGAGAGGGCAAAGGGCAGUGGAUAGAGUUCUGGGCCUGAGGUCAGGAAAACUUGAGUUUGAAUCCAGUCUCAGACACUUCCUAGCUGUAUGACUCUGGGCAAGUCACUUAACCUCUAUUUUUCUCAUCCCCCCCACCCCCCACCUCCAUGUGGGUGAUCCAUCAAACAGACCACUGGGAACGCAGUUAAGACUCAAAUUUAAAUCCAACCUCAAACACUUAUAAACUGUAUGACCCUGUAUAAUCACUUAACCUCUGUUUGCCUCAUCUACA